GGGUCAGUAGGUUGGUCGUGCCACCGGUACGUACUGGUCUCACUGAUUCCUCCGUCCUGAAGAACCUUAAUGCCAUUAAUUUGGUGUUGCGGGGAAACAGGACUGUUACUUUGAAAAAUUAGAGUGUUUAAAGCAAGCUAACGCUUGAAUACAUUAGCAUGGAAUAAUGAAAUAGGACGAUCGAUCCUAUUUUGUUGGUUUCUAGGAUUGACGUA
rnacentral:rRNA from 1 species